UCACCUCUUCACGUCUCCGCGGGCGCUGCCGAGACAACAACUCCUUCAGGCGCCCGCGUUCCACCCUCCACCUCGCGCUCUGAAGCCGGGCCGGUCCCGUUCGCUCCGCCACCGCUGGAGCCCGAGGAGGGCGGAGGGAACUGAGAGGGGAGGGGAGAAGGGCCGCCUGGCAGGAAGAGGCGAGGGAGGGGGCGGGCCGAGAAGGAGGGGAGGAGGCGGUGGCGGCGGGUCGGAAGCGCGCUCGUCCAGGCCCCUCUGCGCGGCGUGCGCGCUCCUGAUGUCGGAGGCGCCCACUCUGCCGGGCGGCGGCGGCGCACACGCGCGUGCACGUCGCUGCGUGGCCGCGGUUGCGCCGGGAGCGGAGGAGUGAGGUCCUGACAGAACCAGAGCUGUUAGAGCAGGGACGCGCGAAAGGCGGGAGUACGGGCGGCGCUGGAGAACCUCCGCGGCGGAGGGGCCUGGGGGUGGGACCGCGCCCGCGAGCCCGCCCUGACCGGGGUGUCUGUGUGCUUGUGAAGCGCUCCCUUGUUAGUUCCUUCUGUGAGACUCGGGGGAGACUGAAGAGGGAAAUCACCUGCGGGGAAUGAACAGGAAAGCAAUAAGAAGAUUUGGAAAAGAGGCACUGGCUACUGGAGGAAGGGAGAAAUCACCGAGAGAGCGAAAGAUGUAACAGAUGCAGUGACUCAUGCCUAUAAUCCCAGUACUUUGGAAGGUCAAGGCACAAGGAUCCAUUGAGGCCAGGAGUCCAAGACCAGCCUGCACAAUGUAGCAAGACUCCUUCUCUACAAAAAAAUAAAUAAAAAUUAGCCAGGCAUGGUGGUGCACUCCUGUAGUCCCAGCUACUCAAGAGGCUGAUGUAGAGAAUCGCAUUAUCCCAGAGGUCAAGGCUGCAGUGAGCCGUGAUCAUGCCUCUGCACUCCAGCCUGGACGAUAGAGCAAGACUUUAUCUCAAAAAACAAAAAUUUAAAAAGAUAUCAGGUAGCUCAUAGAAUUGUUGAGAGGGCUGUAAAACCAGGCUUGAACUUAAACAGCAACGAUAAACCACCCACAGAACGGACAUGAUGAAGAAGUUGGCAAAUGUUACCAACUGUCCUGGUUUUUUUGGUGACUGUAGUUUCCAAGGAUUCAGAUCCUUCCAUGCCAAAAUCUGAAAAAUGCUGGGCAAAGUAUGACUGACAAUGUGGUAAUCUUACAGCUAGCACUAGAGACAUCAAGCACUAGACAACACAAUUUGCCCUUUGGCCACUUAUACAAUGGGAACUCACGCUUGCAGUAACCUCUAUUGCCACUAGGAGAGAGAAACACAGAAGGAGGAAGGGAGAAGGGAGAGAGAGGAAAAAAACUGUUGCUUGUCUCCUUAGCUGUGAGUCAAAGGUCUAACACAGAUGUCUGGCUGAAAAGCCUAGGUCACAUGCCUGCACCCCAGAGAAAGUAUGUGACAUCUUCUGCUUCCAUUAUGGGAAACAGCCUUUGCUUGUCACGAAGAUUUACAUGGUGAGACAUAUCCUAAAUAUAGGGAAGCUGUUGAAGUGGCCCAAAU
rnacentral:lncRNA from 1 species